rnacentral:rRNA from 1 species
AUACGAAGGGUGCAAGCGUUAAUCGGAAUUACUGGGCGUAAAGCGCGCGUAGGUGGUUUUGUAAGUUGGAGGUGAAAGCCCCGGGCUCAACCUGGGAAUUGCCUCCAAAACUGCAUGACUAGAGUACGGUAGAGGGUAGUGGAAUUUCCUGUGUAGCGGUGAAAUGCGUAGAUAUAGGAAGGAACACCAGUGGCGAAGGCGAUUACCUGGACUGAUACUGACACUGAGGUGCGAAAGCGUGGGGAGCAAACAGGAUUAGAUCCCCUGGUAGUCCACGCCGUAAACGAUGUCAACUAGCCGUUGGGAUCCUUGAGAUCUUAGUGGCGCAGCUAACGCAUUAAGUUGACCGCCUGGGGAGUACGGCCGCAAGGUUAAAACUCAAAUGAAUUGACGGGG